AUUGAACGCUGGCGGCAUGCUUUACACAUGCAAGUCGAACGGGUGCAGCAAUGCAUCAGUGGCAGACGGGUGAGUAACACGUGGGAACCUUCCUAGGGGUACGGAACAACUCAGGGAAACUUGAGCUAAUACCGUAUACGUCCGUAAGGAGAAAGAUUCAUCGCCCCUAGACGGGCCCGCGUCGGAUUAGGUAGUUGGUGGGGUAACGGCCUACCAAGCCUACGAUCCGUAGCUGAUCNGAGAGGAUGAUCAGCCACACUGGGACUGAGACACGGCCCAGACUCCUACGGGAGGCAGCAGUGGGGAAUCUUGGACAAUGGGCGCAAGCCUGAUCCAGCCAUGCCGCGUGAGUGAAGAAGGCCUUAGGGUUGUAAAGCUCUUUUACCAGGGACGAUAAUGACGGUACCUGGAGAAUAAGCCCCGGCAAACUUCGUGACAGCCGCCGCCGU
rnacentral:rRNA from 1 species